ACGAACGCUGGCGGCAUGCCUCACCCCUGCAAGUCGCACGAGACCUUCGGGUCUAGUGGCGCACGGGUGCGUAACGCGUGGGAACCUGCCCUUAGGUUCGGAAUAACUCCCCGAAAGGGGUGCUAAUACCGGAUAAUGUCUUCGGACCAAAGAUUUAUCGCCUUUGGAUGGGCCCGCGUUGGAUUAGCUAGUUGGUAGGGUAAAAGCCUACCAAGGCGACGAUCCAUAGCUGGUCUGAGAGGAUGAUCAGCCACACUGGGACUGAGACACGGCCCAGACUCAGCCGGGAGGAAGCAGUGGGGAAGAGGGGAAAAGGGGCUAAGGCCUGAAACGCCAGUGCAGCGGGAAUGAUAAAGGCCUUAGGGUGAUAAAGCUUUUUGCCCCGGGCCGAUAAUGACGCUACCGGAAGAAAAAGCGCCGGCUAACCCCGUG
rnacentral:rRNA from 1 species